rnacentral:rRNA from 1 species
CCUACGGGUGGCUGCAGUGGGGAAUAUUGCACAAUGGGCGCAAGCCUGAUGCAGCCAUGCCGCGUGUGUGAAGAAGGCCUUCGGGUUGUAAAGCACUUUCAGCGGGGAGGAAGGCGUUAAGGUUAAUAACCUUGUCGAUUGACGUUACCCGCAGAAGAAGCACCGGCUAACUCCGUGCCAGCAGCCGCGGUAAUACGGAGGGUGCAAGCGUUAAUCGGAAUUACUGGGCGUAAAGCGCACGCAGGCGGUCUGUCAAGUCGGAUGUGAAAUCCCCGGGCUCAACCUGGGAACUGCAUUCGGAACUGGCAGGCUAGAGUCUUGUAGAGGGGGGUAGAAUUCCAGGUGUAGCGGUGAAAUGCGUAGAGAUCUGGAGGAAUACCGGUGGCAAAGGCGGCCCCCUGGACAAAGACUGACGCUCAGGUGCGAAAGCGUGGGGAGCAAACAGGAUUAGAUACCCCUGUAGUC